CAUGUGGGGGCACCUGCACGGGUGUGAAUGUGUGUGUGCAGCUGCCUUGUGGACAGGCCGCAUCAGGAGCAGGAAGUCAGCACUCAGUGGCAUCGGCCGAGGAGACAGGACGGAGAGAGGCGACAGCAGGACCUGCAGGGUUCAGCCGGUGCCCAACGCUACCUCGUCCUGCCCUGGUUGCUUGAUGAGCCCAUCAGUUCCCCUUUGGGCCUCACCUGGGUUGGUUUGAGUUUCUGUCCCUGGCACCCAGGAGACCUGUCUGGGACAAAGCUGUGUUCGCCCUGCCUGGGCAUCUCUCACGGUCACCUGUGUCUGUGAAGGAGGCUGGGAUAUGAGAUCUUUGGCUGGACAGACAUUGCUCAGAGGAAACUGUGUUUCUAUAGAAAGAGGAGAGAAUGGAAAUCAACAGGACAGCUAGCCAUUCUGUCACCCCACAUGCAGGGCUUGACAAUCCAGCUCCUGCUGGCGCGGCUGCCUCCCCGUGGAGCCCGGGCAUCCCUGCAGCCAGUUCGCCUGGUGCCUCCUGGCCUGUGUCCAUAGGGAGCCGGCCCUCUUCCUGGAGCACGUUCCGGCUCACACGAAUCUGCACAAACCCUGGUCAUCCUUCAGAGUCAGCCGAAGCACCCGCAGCGCAGGCAGCGGCCAAAUGCCCUCACUGGAGAUGCCCACUUCCUGCUCUUGGCUCCUGACAAAGCUUCUCCUUCCUCUGCUCUCGCACAGUGGAACUUCGUGUGAACUUAAAGCAUCCCUUUCAAAGAAAGGGGCUGGAUCCUCAGAUAAGGAGAUUGAGACCCAAAGACGGGCAGUCGCUUGCCCAAGGCCAUGUGGCUGUUAGUGUUGCAGUCCAAAUUUGAAGCCAGGAACACCUGCUUUCAGAGGAAGCUUCUGACAAAAUACAGCAGACUGCCAUGCCACCCUGUGUGUCCCCCAGAGAUGCCACUUCCCCCAGCCUGUAUGAGCUGCCCUGAUCAUUACUGCAAAUGGCUGGAUUCGUCUUUGUCAAGUUUGCACUUUCCCCCAAGUUUGAAUUAACCUCGACAUUAAUUUGCUGAUGAAGCGCCUGCGGUAGGUCAUAUAGCGUGAGCACCUGUGAUUUCCGCGGAAAUUAUUGUAAUGUGCUAAAUGGGAGAUUUAAAGGUUACUUGUUCCCCUGCAAUCUAUGAACUGUUAUAUGAAAAAGUCAUAACUGAAAUAAUUGAAGUGUCAGAAAGAAAAAAAAGGAUAAGAAAUCUAAUCAACAAUUCUUAUCCCUUACCUAU